GAUGAACGCUGGCGGCGUGCCUAAUACAUGCAAGUCGAGCGAACAGACGAGGAGCUUGCUCCUCUGACGUUAGCGGCGGACGGGUGAGUAACACGUGGAUAACCUACCUAUAAGACUGGGAUAACUUCGGGAAACCGGAGCUAAUACCGGAUAAUAUAUUGAACCGCAUGGUUCAAUAGUGAAAGACGGUUUUGCUUUCCCUUAUAGAUGGAUCCGCGCCGCAUUAGCUAGUUGGUAAGGUAACGGCUUUCCAAGGCAACGAUGCGUAGACGACCUGAGAGGGUGAUCGGCCACACUGGAACUGAGACACGGUCCAGACUCCUACGGGAGGCAGCAGUAGGGAAUCUUCCGCAAUGGGCGAAAGCCUGACGGAGCAACGCCGCGUGAGUGAUGAAGGUCUUCGGAUCGUAAAACUCUGUUAUUAGGGAAGAACAAAUGUGUAAGUAACUAUGCACGUCUUGACGGUACCUAAUCAGAAAGCCACGGCUAACUACGUG
rnacentral:rRNA from 1 species